GAUGAACGCUAGCUACAGGCUUAACACAUGCAAGUCGAGGGGUAACGAGAGGAAAGCUUGCUUUCCUUGUCGACGACCGGCGCACGGGUGAGUAACGCGUAUCCAACCUGCCCCCAACUAGGGAAUAACCUUGCGAAAGUAAGACUAAUACCCUAUAAUUUCCUCAGAUGUCAUCUGACGAGGAAUAAAGAUUUAUCGGUUGUGGAUGGGGAUGCGUCUGAUUAGCUUGUUGGCGGGGUAACGGCCCACCAAGGCAACGAUCAGGAGGGGGUCUGAGAGGAAGGUUCCCCACAUUGGAACUGAGACACGGUCCAAACUCCUACGGGAGGCAGCAGUGAGGAAUAUUGGUCAAUGGGCGGAAGCCUGAACCAGCCAAGUAGCGUGCAGGAUGACGGCCCUAUGGGUUGUAAACUGCUUUUAUACAGGAAUAAAGUUAGCCACGUGUGGUUAUUUGUAGGUACUGUAUGAAUAAGGACCGGCUAAUUCCGUGCCAGCAGCCGCCGUAA
rnacentral:rRNA from 1 species